UCUGGGGUGGGCAGGAGGGAAGAGUUACCUGGGAGGCACAGAACCCAAGGUCUGUCCCCACCCACCUGGGGCAAUUGUCACAAUUACUAGGCAAUGGGAAGAGGCAGAUUGUGGACUGAGAGCAGGCAUGGAGGUGGGCUCAGGCCCUGGGAGGAGGGACAGGGUACUCCUAAGUCCUUGAGGGAAACAAGGGUGGGCCACCCUCAAACGGGUCACCAGACAGGUACCGCUCCACCCUUGCUCCCCUCACCGAACUAGGACUUCCAGGCCAGGACACUGAGCAGAUCCUGGGUCCCGGACAGAAGCAGCAGGACUGAAUUCGGCAGAAGUCAUGCUGAUUAGGUGCCCAGCCAUGUGGGUUCUGAGAGGACACUGCCUUGGCCCCCGCUGGAAAAAGACCCAGUGGGUUCUGGGGUGCAGGCAAAGGUGACAGGCUGCUUCUAGGAAGAGCACUUGCUCCUUCAUCCUGACCUUUUCUUGUGCCUUCAGAAGCUUCCUCCUGUGACCUUGCCUGACCAAAGCCCCCGGAGGCCAGGACACGACACCCCUGCCCGUGAGCCCUACCCCGGCAGGCCAGGGAGUGAGGUGCUGGCAAACAUGAGAGCGAACCAGAACAUCUGGCCUGGGGGUAGCUGGGGUGCCAGCCCACCAGCAUCAAGGUCAGUGCCUACUUAUCUCAAAAGGCACAAAAGCGGGCAAUUAUUGGCAUUAGAUGGGGAAGCCAUGCACAAAAGCGUCUCUCCGGCCCUGGAGCCUACCGGCCCCGGUCAACUGCCCCGGCAGGAACUGAUUGGCAGAGCAGCGCCCCCCCGCCCCCACAUCUACCCAUGGCAAUGCACAGCUGCCGCAUCUGGCCAAAGGGGAGGCGCCGCUUGAACCACUCGUGCCCUUCAAAGGAAAGGGAAAGUUACCAGGAAGUAGGGCCAAGGGAGAAAGAGCGAGCAAGGAAAGGGGCAGGAAGACAGCAGCCCUUCCCCGGUUCCAGGGCCCGGCAGAAGAGGCACCUGCCCUUCACCACGUCUCACGCAGCCAGCUCCGGCCCCACGCUUCGCGGCUCUGCCCGGCAGGGCUCACUCACCCUGGUAGCUGUAGGAGAGGUCUCCAGUGCCUGAGCUGUCGACCAGCCCGUCGGUGGAUCCGGAACUGUUCUCUGCGGGGAACAGUGAGCGGUGAGGCAGGUGGGAGGAGACGGGGAGGCGGGGGUCGGAAGGGGCCGGCUGCCAUUGUGCCACGUUGGAGGUGGAAGCCUAAGGAGGCCUGGCUGUGAGUGGGUGAGCACAGCCUUCGGUGUGGACACGUACCAAAGGAACCGUAGUUAUAACCUUCAUACGGGGAGCUGCCGGGGAAGGCAUCGGCCAGGACCCGGGGGUUACCUGCAAAGAGAGGUCAAGGGCCCCCUUAGCUCUGGAAACAGCCCGAAGCCAAAAGCCAAGAGAGAGAAGGAAGAAUCCAGAGAAGAGAGACACAGAGAGGCCUCGGUGGCAGCAGAGAGAACGCAUCUAUCCUGGCAAACACAACUCACUGCCACCACUAACAGCUGCCCCAGCCUCCCAGCUCCUCUGCCCACGGCACCUGGCGCUUACCAAGGAGAGAAGCUGAGAGAGAAGGUCCCAAACAGGAGGGAGGACAGACAGAGAGGGCGAAAUGGAAGAAAAGGAGAGAGAAUGAAAGGUUAGUAACCCCCCAGACUGUGAGCUACAUCAUCUGAGGCAGACAGCAUAGCUCUAGGCCCAGAGGAAGAACCAAGGGGCAGCCAUGAAGACAGCCAUGUGAGGGUCACAGGUAGGGCACAAUAGCCCAGCCCCAUUUCCAUCUGCAGAGUGUUCUUUCUCAGUCUGGACAUCCAGAAGCCCCCAGCCAGCCCUUCCUCCUCCAGCCCCCGAAGGGAACCGUCCACCAAAACACAAAGCAAACUGGCCCUCCCUGCCCAGGCCCUCUGGAGGUACCGCUUUCUGGGCAGGCUCGGUCCAUGGCCACCAGAAGCGUCUUCUUCCUCUGCCUGUAGGGACAGAAUCCAGAGGCAAACCAGAGGGAUGGGGCGAGGAUCCCUCCUUUGCUGAGCUGGCCUGCCUUCCACCCUCUCCACCCCAUAACCCUGUCCUCCAUCUGUGAUCUGAAGGUUCCUCCCAGGCUGGGAAACAAUGUGGGGUUUCCCUGCUUGGGAAGAAGGUUGAGGGGAGGGGUUGGUUUCCAGAGCAGAGGCCUCGUGAACCACGAACCCUCAAAGGGGCCUGCCUUCCUAUGCCCCGCAAUGGCGUGGGGCACUAUCCUGGGUUGGCUCACAUCCUGCUCAACCCACCCCAGAACAGGGGGGCACCCAGCAGCCCGCUUUACCUCCAGUUCUCCCAGCAGGCCAGGAGGAUGGUCAGCAGGUAGAAGGAGAGAAAUAUGCCCAGGCAAAAGAGCAUACCGCCAACAUAGGCCUCGGCUGUGGGGAGGGAGGCAGGAGGGUGAGCACACCGAAGCCUUCCGACGCUGCCCGCCAUGGCACACAAGGGCCCGGCCCAAGCUCACCCCGCAUCUCCCCUCAAAUGUAGUAACCCAGAGGGGUGAGCAGUAGGCAGCUUCCUAAAUAUGCCAAACUCUGACAUGAUUCCUGCCUUUGCUCAUGUUGCUCUUCCUCAAGAACCCUACCCUGUCUUCAAACACUUUCCUUCCAAAUACAGCUCGAGGACUAUGUCCUCUGGGAAGGCUUCUCUGCCCUGUGUUCCCUGUGACCUGUCCUUUGCUCAUCACAGGCCAUCGGCACUCUGCACAGCAACAGAUUCCUGCCCGCCAAACAGGAGCUCCCUGAGGACUGUAGCCAGCACGCAGCACCGGGCACAUAGAAGGUGCUACAUAAAUAUUUGCUGAAUAAAGAAUCUGUAAAGAAGAGACAGUUUCUUUCCCCUCCCAUCACAAUCCCUUAUUUUUAUCUUAUACUUAUUUUAUCUUAUAUUUAUACUUACAAAAAUCUAUAUUUUUAUCUCA